UACGUAGGUGGCGAGCGUUAUCCGGAAUUACUGGGUGUAAAGGGCGUGUAGGCGGGUUGGCAAGUCAGAUGUGAAAUCCCAUGGCUUAACUGUGGGGCUGCAUCUGAAACUGCUGAUCUUGAGUAUCGGAGAGGAAAGUGGAAUUCCCAGUGUAGCGGUGAAAUGCGUAGAUAUUGGGAGGAACACCAGUGGCGAAGGCGACUUUCUGGACGGUAACUGACGCUGAGGCGCGAAAGCGUGGGGAGCAAACAGG
rnacentral:rRNA from 1 species